CGAUUUUCCCAGAGCUUGUUGUCUCACUUUUAGAUCAUGUCAUGAAGUGAAAAAAUACCUAGCAAAAAUAUCAUGCACACAAUCAUGAGCUGGAAAGCAUGGCAUUGGCUCCUUCCUGGUGUCCCUGCUGUUGGUCUCACAGUCCUGUCCAUUCUCUACUGUGCUCUGAGAAGGACUGCAAUAAAAUACAAAUCUAGUCAUGCCAUCUCCAUGUCCUAAAUUCUUACGGGCUCCACCUUGCCUAAAGCAUAGACGCUGCUCCACUGUAGACCAUGAUUUGGUUUACACUGAUUCGUAGACUUCACCAUUUGGUCUUUGCCCAGCCCAGUGCAGGUUUGUGUCCUUGGUCCUCCAACUCAUUAGAGCACUGGGAUGUCAUAAGGGACAGUCAUCUCUCCUCUGCAGUUGGGGCUGCAGAGGAGAGAUGAGAUGGGGGCUUUGGUUCAGUGGAGGUUUCUCCAGAAAGGAGUGAAGAGAAAUGCAGUGGGAUAUCUGCCAGAAGAAUCUCAAAGUGAUGGGUUGGUGCCUAAAGAGUUGUGUGGGGUGAGAGGCUUGUCAGUAGUGGCACUUGUGUGGCACUCUGUCCUUGCCAACUCUAGAGGGCAUUGGAUUGGAGCUUGGACCAUUGAUAUAGACAACCACCUCAUCUCAGGUGCUCAGCUUGGAGGUGGCCUCCCCCUUGCCCAACGCUAGAUGCAGAUAAAUCAGAGGGAGGGUGAUGAGAAAGGAGAUUCUGACCCACCCCUGCUCCUGGCCCCAAACCGUAGGAGCCACACACCCAGUCAGCACCACAUGGGCAGCAGGAGAAGAACUCUGAAACAAGCAUGAGCUGGCACUACAAAAACACAUAACCUCAGAGGAGACAAGCAACAGGAUGCCUAAAAGUGGCUGAGUGUAGUUGCCUGCAGUCACUGAAGAAAGAAAACCGUGUGAGGUUUGUGCCUAGCAGGUUAAGAACCUUUCAAUAAUCUUUUUAAAUGAGGAAACCAAGGCAAAAAGAUGUUCAGGAGCUGUCACAAUAGGUUCUGAGGAAAAUUAAAUUGUGCAUGGUUCUUGGCAUAUUACUAAGUGCUCUAUAGAGCUUAGUUUCUACUAGUCAAACAGAGAGAAAAACACAGCAUGAAACGGGAUGCUCUGCUGAACCAGGUAUCGCCUCCGUGAUGGGUGCUGGCAGUUGUCAUCAGCCUCGCGAUGCUGGUUUCCUGUGUCUUCCUGCCUGCUUGACCAUGUGCACUGUGCCUGGCACAUGAAUGAUGAAUGAGGGAAUGAAUAAUGAAUAAAUGGAGUCAAUACAGUGAAUGGUAUUCCCUUUUCAAGUUUUAGGAGUUGAAAAGGAGAGAGUGGUGGGGAGGUUUAGCUACAGUUGUUGAAAUGCUGAAUAAAGAUGGCAGCAAACAUGAGAUCUGGAAUCUUUUCUUUGGGAUGUGGCUGCUAAACUCAGGUUUGUGAUAGAUGGGGUGAUAAUGGGCUCAUGUAUUUACCCCAAGCUUACCAGCGCCAGGGGAUGCAGUUGUCUCUCUGGCUUCUAGGGUGUCCUGAGAUUCAAUGGCGACCUGAGACAACAGGAAUGCAAAGCUUCUCAUUCUGUUUAUUAUGUCAAGUGUCUGUGUGUUAGACUCAGUCUUUAAGAGAUCAAUGUUCCAGGGAAAAAAGGGUUCCUUGUGAGCCAGUUCUGCUUCCAAAACAAAUCAAACAAAACAAACAACAGGAACCCAGCUUAGUAAGGUAAAAUCCUGACCAAAAAGGCAGGGCUGGUCCCAUUCACAGAAAUUCAGUAAAGCAUCAUGCUUAGAGUUUUAGAGAGACAUUCUCCCAAUCUCAUAAGAAGAGGUUAUUCCCAAGCAAUUAUUCUUGGAAGAGAAAUGCAUUUCUUCUGCUAGAGGCUGAGUUUCCCAGGCUUCAUGAAGUGAGAGUGAGGAAUGCGAUCUGUUCUGUCCCCAGUGCUGCAGAGUCUGGCACCUAGUAGCUGCUCAAUCAAGACGUGGGGCUCCAGAAGGAAUGGGAUCUCAAGGCCUGGGGAGCAAAUAGUUGACCUGCGUAGGGUGGAGCUUGCUGACCUCUCUUCUUACAUGGCCAAAGUAGUGGCAGGUGGAGAGCAUGACCGUGCAGAAUCGAGAGGAUGUAGCUCGCACUGCAGGAGGUGUGGCCACUGGCCUCAAGAUCACUUGGUUUCAGGAGGUUUUAAUGAUCAGCUCUUUCAUAAGGCAAAGGACCUCCAUCCAGGGAUCUCCUUUCUGCCCCUUUGAUUUCAAAAAGAACCAAAUACACUUAUGUAGCACCUCCAGUAUACUAGGCUCUGGGGGAGGCCCUGGAUUUGCUUGCUAAUCCAAGAGGCUGAUAUGUAAACACAGAGAAAUAAAGGAUGCACUGAGAAUGGUGGUGAUUUUCUUCUUUGGUGCCUGGGGGGGGGGCGGUGAUCCUUGGCCAAUUGGGAUGCUGAUAGCAUCCCUGCAGAGGUGCUUCCCUCCCUCCUACCUCAAAGUCUUGCACCCUCCACUGCCCCAUGUAAAACAAUGGCACAGUAGCUGAAAUCUUGCUUUCAAGGAUCUUCUUCAGACCAUGACCUCAUUUACUCCCCUGACAGCCCUUCCCUCCACGGGGACUGCCAGCCCACGGACCCAGCCAGUCUCUGUGUCCUCAGUUCCUUCCUUAUCUAGCUUAGAGUCUGGGCGACAUCCUGUCCUCCUCGCCUCCCCCCUCCCUGCCAUGAUACUUGUGUGGCCUUGAUGAAGUCUAACCCUCCCCCUCCUCUGUGCCUGCACCCAGUAGCUCAAUGUCCCUGGACAGGACGCAAGGUUAAUCCAAGACUUUCGGGCUGAGCGCUGGAAGGAUAGUUGUUGUCAUGUAUGGAGAUGAGAGAGAGGCUUUGGAAGGAAGAGCAUCCACCACAGUGGGUGGCACUUAGUAGGUGCUUGAUAAAUAUCCCAUGAACCAAAGAAUGAGCAGCCAAGCUGCACCUGAGUCAAGGGCUGGAUUCCCAGUUCACUGGGUCCAUCUUGGGUAACCUUCAGCUUUCCCGUCCGCUCUGAGCUACAUUUUGGGAAGGCCCUUGAUGGUGCCUCUCUGUUUCAGGGUGACCGGAAGAAUUUCCCAAUAUUAUUUUCUCAGAGGCUGUGUGCAAGGAAGUAUAAUUGGAGGGAAAAAUACCUGGUGAAGGCAGGUACCAAGACUCCUUUUGAGAGGUGCCCCCCCCUUUUGUCUUUUUAGGGCUGAACCCGCACAUGUGAAAAUUCCUAGGCUAGGGGUCAAAAAGGCAGCAGCUACAAGCCACAGCCACAGCAGCUGACACCACAGUUCAUGGCAAUGCCAGGUCCUUAACUCACUGAGCAAGACCAGGGAUCGAACCCACGUCAUCAUGGCUACUAGUUGGGUUCAUUACCACUGAGCCACAAAAGGAACUCCCCCACGUUUUUAUAAGAGCAAAUUCAGGGCGCCCAGUGGGUGCAGAGCCUUCCAGACGGCUUCAGUUCUGCUUGUGACUCCCCAACAGCGCCCCCUGGUGCACUCUGAGAGAAGGCAAGCUGGCAUGCAGCCUUGGCUCUUAGGGGGGCUAUUGCCCUCAGGCUCUCUCUGUGGGGAAUGGCUGGGUGGGGCCUGCCUUGAGGAAAGGGUACUGGGUUCUAGUUUCUCCAUAUUUUCUCUACCUGGUCUUGCACACACACGAUUGGUCAUUAUUGUUGAUAUUAUUAUCAUUGUUGGGGGGGCUGUCAUUUAAAGUCCAUCCUCCAUCAGGAAGAAAACAACCUGUAGGCCAGGACUGUGCUUUUCAGACCUAAAGUGUGACUUACAACAGCCAAGGGCACCAGUUAGGGCGUCAGACACAACUAAACACAACCCCCACCUCUGCUUCUUUCUAGCCGUGUGUGAUUUCAUGCCACCUCCUCAAGCCUCAGCUUCCUCAUCUGCAAAAUGUGGACUAGCAUAGUCCAUCACCGAGCAAUUGAGAAACUUAAGUGACUUAGGAUAGGUAAAGCUCUAGCACAGUCUUCAGUGUUUAGUAAGUGCUUUAGAAAUUCUAGCCAUUAUUAGGACAGAAGGCCAUAGUUGGAUCCAUUCCUCCCCCAGCACACACCCCCACAUACACCUCAGGAAAUCAGGUUUACUCAGAAUUGGGAAGACAUUUCGAAUUUUGAUCAUCUUAAUAGAGCAAGCACACAAUGUAAAUAUUGUAUGAUUUAAAGGCAAAAUAGAGCCUUCAGAGAAAAUUCAAUGGUGCUCUCAAUGUCUAUUUUACCCUUUCUGAACUUGGUGCCACAGCUUCCGGGCCCUGGACCAGAAGCUCACUCUCCUCUGAGCUUUAGCGAGGUCAGGGGUGGGUUACUUCCAGUCUGCAUAUCAGGCCCCUCUCUGUGCAGCUCUAAUAAAUGCAGAGUCCUGGACCCUGACCUCAUAGGAGCCACUGUCCCCUUAGGACACGGGGGAUCAGGCAGAAGCCCUCUUUAGAGACUCCUAGUGUCACAAUGAGGCAGCAGUUAAUCCGCUGCCUGAGACCAGAUCAGAGCUGGUCCAGCAGGGAGAGGGAGGGGCAGUUUUAUUCAUUUCUCUGCUCCGAAGUCCAUCAAUACCCUGGCAUUUUUGUCUCCCCAGAGUCCAUGCUCCUAUUUCCUCUGUGCUUGAGCUCAUGUCAGGGUGAU
rnacentral:lncRNA from 1 species